CAGACGAUGAACGUCUGUUUUCAGCCAUCGCCAUUUUCUCACGUUUACCCUUCCAUGUGCUUGCUCCAGUCUUGAGUUUUUCCCUCGAUUGUCAAUGGCGUUUAUCUGUUAAGUUAGUCUUUUAGAGUUAGCAAAAACCUGCUUUUAAAUGUAUUAACUGAAUCUUCGAGCUUCAUCCUGACCAGUUUUGGAUUGAAGCAGAGUUCACUCGCUUAACAUCUAAGGACCUCAUGAAGUCUUUUCUCUCAGGGUUGGAUCAGUAUGUACCCAGAUUCCUUCAGAUGUUUAGAGCCAAGUUGAGCAGCAUUUUCAGAACUCAAAAGUCUUCUAUGCAAGAUUGACCGUGAUACCCAAAAUGUGUCCAAAUAUCAGCUUUUAAGGCUGUGCACAGGCUCCUACUCUUCUUCUGCCUAUAAUUCCAUGUCAAUGAAAAGGGCCGUUGUUCUUCAAGGCCUUCCACAUUACCUCGGCGAGGAUCCAUCAGAUUUCUUCAAGUCAGCUGAGGAAACUGACAUUGAAUAC